AUUGAACGCUGGCGGCAGGCCUAACACAUGCAAGUCGAGCGGAUGAAGGGAGCUUGCUCCUGGAUUCAGCGGCGGACGGGUGAGUAAUGCCUAGGAAUCUGCCUGGUAGUGGGGGAUAACGUCCGGAAACGGGCGCUAAUACCGCAUACGUCCUGAGGGAGAAAGUGGGGGAUCUUCGGACCUCACGCUAUCAGAUGAGCCUAGGUCGGAUUAGCUAGUUGGUGGGCUAAAGGCCUACCAAGGCGACGAUCCGUAACUGGUCUGAGAGGAUGAUCAGUCACACUGGAACUGAGACACGGUCCAGACUCCUACGGGAGGCAGCAGUGGGGAAUAUUGGACAAUGGGCGAAAGCCUGAUCCAGCCAUGCCGCGUGUGUGAAGAAGGUCUUCGGAUUGUAAAGCACUUUAAGUUGGGAGGAAGGGCAGUAAGUUAAUACCUUGCUGUUUUGACGUUACCAACAGAAUAAGCACCGGCUAACUUCGUG
rnacentral:rRNA from 1 species